GUCCCCGCCGGGGCCUCCGCCUCCCGCAGCCAUUCUUCACCCCCAAGUCAUCACCGGGACGCCGGUGGGCGUGCGCUCCCCUCUUAUCCCCUCUCUGGGAGCUGAGAAGCCGGAGCAGAGCUCCUGGAGGGUGGGGGCGUGGGAAGUAUUCGCAACGUGCCAAAGCGAGCGCAAACUCCACGGAGAUUCCGGGCUCGGAAGGCUAGCUGUUGGAUACUUCCUAGGGAGACUGCCUGGCUGGGGCGCUCAGGGUCUAGAAACUAGACUGUGGCCUGGAAGUCCAGGGUCCUAGACCGGAUUCAGUGGUCUGAUUUCGCGUGGGGACGUCCAACAGAUCACUGUCCUCUGUGGACCUCGGUUUCCCCAUCUGUCAGCCGAGGUCUUCCCACUGGGAGGCUGUCUCCUACUCUCUGAGGACACCCACCCUGGGAGCCGAGCCGCCAUGUUGUGAGGAAGCACAAGCCACACGGCAGAGGUGACAUGAGGUGACCUGGCCGAUACCUUCAGCUCAGCUCAGCUCAGCUUGGCUCUCGGGCAACAGCUGGCCUCAACCACUGGACAGGUGGUGAACUGAGCUGAUUCUGGCCCCAGCCUUUGAGUCUUCCAACCAAGGUCCCAGAUGUGGAGCAGAGACAAGCCAACCUCACUGUGCCCUGUCUGAAUUUCUCUCCCACAAAAACUGGGAGAUAAGAAGUGAUCAUUGAUGUUUUAAGCCAGCUGGACUCCAUCCUGCUUGGCUUGAAGUUCCCAGGCUUGGAGUCAGUGAAAGGGUGCCUGCUAGCUGCUAAUCUCAGCUCCAGAAGACCCCAGUUAACGCUGCUUCCCUGGCUCACCUUCUGACAUCCAGGAAUGCAGGCUUAUCCCCCAUAAGACUGCUCUUUAAUUAGAAGUGACUGGCUUGCGGGGACAGAAGACAUGGCCCCACGUCUCAGUGAAGCUCCCUGAUUUUCCUCUGGGAAACCACUGCUUCCCACCCUAGCUCCAAUGGAAGGAGAUGUGAAUGAAUUACUGUUGAACACCAGCCGAUCUACCAACCGCAGUGACUGGCUGAGGGAUGGGCCCGUGACUCCAGUUCAUCCCAGAGACUCAUUUUUGUGGGUUUGAUUUGAUUUGUAACAACCUUCAAAAAAGAACCUCUUUUGGCUUGUGUUCUGAAUGUUAUCUCCUCUAAUCCUUGGUAAUUUUGUCCUGCAUGAUUAUCUCCGUUAUAAAGACUGUUAGUGUGAGGUUUUUCUGCUUUUGAAGGUGGUUUUUGUAUGCAGGGAAUAGUUAUGUAGAGUUUUAAACAUUAAUGUGCAGUAAACUAAAAUUAUACAUUCAAAGCUCCAGUUCUUCCAUAGGCGUUUUUUCCCAUUGUUUUCAUUGUGAUUUAAAAAAAAAAAAAAAAACAACAUGUAACAUAACAUUUAUCUUCUUAACCAUCUUAAAGUUCAUUGUGCUCAGUCGCACCAGUUGUGUCUGACUCUUUGGGAUGCUAUGGACUGUAGCCCAGGAUAGAGGAGCCCAGGCUCCUCUGUUCAUGGGAUUCUCCACGCAAGAAUACUGGAGUGGAUUGCCGUGCCCUCCUCCAGGGGAUCUUCUGGACCCAGGGAUCGAACCUGUGUCUCCUGCGCCUCCUGCAUUGCAGACAAAUUGUUUAACGAGCCACCAUGAAGCCCUUCAAGUUCAUUAGUAUUAAGCAUAUGCACAUUGCUGUGAAGCAGUCCUCCAGACCUUUUUCAUCUUGCAAAACUGAAAAUCUGUACCCAUUAAACAACUCCCCUUUCCUACCUCUUCCCAGCCCCCCAGUAACCACCCAUCCAUUUUCUGCUUCCAUAAAUUUGACUUCUACAGGUGCCUCAAGCAAGAGAAAUCACACAAUUCUUGUCCUUUGGUGACUGGUUUAUUUCACUUACCAUAAUGUCCUCCAAGUUCAUCCAUGUUGUAGCAUGUGACAGGAAUUUUUCCAUGGGCUUUUAAGAUAGGCUGACACAUUUUUAUUAUUCUAAGUCAUUUUUACAAAUCUUGUUAUUCUUAUUUUAGCAAUCACUUUAAAGGACUCUUGAAUUCUAUUUUGCCCCUUUUUAAAACCUUGUUCAUUAAAUACUUUUGAGUAUUUAAAAUUGCAUUUGUAAAUGAGAUAUAUUUGUUUUCCUCCUUAAGUAUUUCCAUUUCCUCACUUAACAAACAAAACCUUCCUAACAUAGCCAAAUAAUUCUCAAAAAUCUAUGAAAUUAACUAGUAAUAUGAGCAUAGUUCUUCUUAAAUAUUCUAACACUUAACUACAUAAAAUGCUACAUUUUUCACAAUGUAAAAAUCCCAAGUCUUAAAUCAAUUAUGUAAUUAUACAUUUUAAAUUGGAGUAGAAAGCACUCACUCCAAAGACAAAAAUUCCUUGAACUUUGCAAAUAUAUAGGAUAUUAAAUUUUUAAAGAUUUGCUAAUGCAAAAAUAUUAAAAUAUAAUUUUGAUCUCCUUAAAUUUUGUUUCCCUACUUGAGUUCAAAUUUUCCUGGCGUUGAAUGGGGUGUGUCCCUUGGAAAACAAUGACAUCCCGUUAGCUGAGGUUAUUGAUGUUGAGGUUUUGCCAGGAUUCUACCUGGAUUCAGAUCCACGCUCCUUUUGGGAUGCACUAAAUCUUAUUUAUGGUUGCUAUAAUGUCAAUGCCUUCACAACUCAGAGUGGGUAGUGGUGAAGUCUCCUCACUACCCAUAUAUCCACAUUACGUGCAUUCAGAAAGCCAGCAACUGCCAAUUAGGUGGUCGAGAUUUCAUCUUCCUUUUUUUUCCGCCUUUACCUUUUCUCUCAAUUUUGUAUAUGUCUUCUUUUCUAGGUAGGAACUUAAUGAAAUUCGGCAUCACUCUUCCAUCCUUCCUGUCUCUUUCAUAUAUGUAUAACACAUGUGUAUGAAUGUAAUAUCCUACUGAGUAUUGUGGAUGUCUCACUUGGUUUGCUCUGUUUUGCAGUUACAUUGUGUGAUGCCGUAUCACUGGCACAGAUAAGGAAACUGAGGCCCAGAAAGCUUACUUGGCCUCUUCUAGGUCUCUCUGUGAGUCAGAGACAUGGCCGGGACUUGGUCUGUGUAUUAAGAUACCAGUGGUUGCUCUACUCCUCAUUGCAAAUGACAUGUUAGGCAUUUACAGGUCAGGGUAGAGAGUUUAUGUAACUCCUUUAAAAAUAACUACUCCAUCAGUCAAUCAACAACUAUUUAUUGAGCUUGUGCUCUGAGCCAGGCUGCUGCCACGGUAGAGCUCAUAACCUGGAGGAGACCCAUGUUGGCUGUUGGCAAAGAAUAGGGAGAGACACUCUGGGAAGUCAUAGCAGGGAGACUUAACCCAUUCAAAGGGGCCAAGAGGUUUCCCGGAGUGGCCUUGAAGGAGGGUAAAAAUUCAGUAGGCUGAGGUGUGUGGUCAAAAGCAUGGCUGGAAUGGGGGUGGAGAGAAGUCUAUGGAAGUCUUGAUCUCAAUGACACACUUCAGGAUUUUAGGAAAUAUAUUAAUAUGACUCAUGAAAAGACCCUGAUGCUGGGAAAGAUUGAAGGCAAAAGGAGAAGGGGGCAGCAGAAGAUGAGAUGGUUAGAUAGCAUCACUGACCCAAGGGACACGAAUUUGAACAAACUCUGGGAGACAAUGAAGGACAGGGGAGACUGGCAGGCUGCAGUCCAUGGGGUCGUAAAGAGUCAAACUUGACUUACCAACCAAACAACAAUGACAACAAAAUUGAUAUGCCAGUUAAGAUCACGAAAAAUAAAAAUUAGAAGAAAGAGUAUGAAAACCGAAGACACAGAGAGAAGCUGGGCAAAUGAUGAGUCAUUUUUAAUGUGAUCAUUCCUCUGUUAGGAGUGGCCAGGUCCUGCUCCCCAUCAAUUCUACCUUCAAGUCAACCUUCUCAGAUGUUAAAACUCCCAGUGCCAUCUCCUGCCUCAGGUUGGCAGGUGGAGAGAGACUUCCCUGAAGAGGAAGAGCAACAUGGCCAUCUCUCCCUCCCUUCCUUUCUUUCUCCUUCCCCUCUCUUUGGCAUCAGCUUUCUUGAGCUGCUACUAAGUGCCAGGAACUGUGCUAGUGGCUGGGUUACAAUAAUGAGCAAAAGCACAAGUUGUCCGUGUCCACCAAGAACCCAUGGCCAGGCCUGGAUGAGACGGUUAUGAAAAUCCUUCUACAAAAGAUUUUGGUGCAUGGAGUUUUUUGUUUGGUUGGUUGUUUUAUUGUGUACAGUGAACGUAAUACACAUAAAACUUGAACUCAUAUCCUCCAUCAAAUAAAAUUCUUUGACCUAAAUACUCCUUUAGGAAGUUUCUUCUUAUAAAGUUUCCAUGUAUUCUACCUUCAGAUUUUAAGGCCUCAUUCGUCAGAUAGAUAAACGCACACACAGAAGCAGGCAUGUGUAUUAAAGAGGCCACUGCAUGGAAAAUAGAUGAGGAAGAAAUAUCAAGAGAGCCUUAUCAAUCGGGAUAUCUUAUUAUCUUUAGAGAGAAUCCCAACCCCUGACUGCAAACAGAUAAGGGAGGAGAGAAGCAAUGAUAAAAGAGAAAUCGUUGUAAUAUUUUACUCUGUAUAAAGCCAGGUGGUGAGCUGUGUGUCUCCAGUAGCUUCUGGGGUGGAAUUCCUUUAUUCCGUUUAGAGGCCCUGACAUGUGUGGACAUGGGUGUACCCAGCGAUGUGGGCUGCUGUCCUUGGUCCCUGGCGUGCGUGUUGCCUGGCCUAUCGGCGCACAGCCCUGCUGUGGAUGUGGGCAGCAUCCGCUAUCUUCUGAGCCCAUCCAUAUGCAUGUGUGUCUAUAUCCCAGCCGUGGUCGGCAUCAUUCAUUUCCAAAACCAGCAUGCAUUCAUUUUCAUAACUUUUUGUUCCAUUACAAUAUUAAUGGGACUAUCAAUGGGAAAGGACAAGAGAAGCAUUUUUAAUGUUUAUCUGACAGUUGCAAAUUUCACUUGAGGUUGUUUACUGGGAUCUGAUUGUUGGCAGAGAGGAGCAGGAGAGGCGGCAAGAUUAAUGGGAUCACAGGAAGAGGAGAUGUAUUUAUGGGCCUUCUGAACACCAUCUAAGAGUAAUAAAAAGUCCUGCCGCACCCUUCCCCAAGUGAGACUUAAGAAGUUUUAAGCGCUGAGAAAUGAGGGAUUGUUUUAAUUAACUUCCAUCUAAUCCAGGUGGCCUGUUCAAAGUGAAUCAUGCUGCAUUUAUGUCUCAGUCUAUUAAAAAUUAGACACGGCCCUCUCCCAUCCCCCACCUCACAUCUCUCUCUCUCUCUCUCUCUCUCUCUCUUUCUGCCCCCGCCUCCGGUCCCCCUCUGGCCUUGGAUUGCUGUCAGUCUGGCUUGCCAUAUUUUUUCUCCUCUUUCUUAAACUCCUAUGCCAUCUCAAAGGGAGAGAGAGCCUGGUGGGGCCUUUGACCAGAAAGGCAGGAGAAAAGGAGAGGAGGAUU